rnacentral:rRNA from 1 species
GUAGACCCGAAACCAUGUGACCUACCCAUGAGCAGGUUGAAGGUGCGGUAAGACGCACUGGAGGACCGAACCAGGGCACGUUAAAAAGUGCUUGGAUGACUUGUGGGUAGCGGAGAAAUUCCAAACGAACUUGGAGAUAGCUGGUUCUCUCCGAAAUAGCUUUAGGGCUAGCGUCGACAUUAAGAUUCUUGGAGGUAGAGCACUGUUUGGGUGAGGGGUCCAUCCCGGAUUACCAAUCUCAGAUAAACUCCGAAUGCCAAUGAAUUAUGGUCGGCAGUCAGACUGCGAGUGCUAAGAUCCGUAGUCGAAAGGGAAACAGCCCAGACCACCAGCUAAGGUCCCAAAAUAAUUGUUAAGUGGAAAAGGAUGUGGGGUUGCACAGACAACUAGGAUGUUAGCUUAGAAGCAGCUAUUCAUUCAAAGAGUGCGUAAUAGCUCACUAGUCGAGUGACCCUGCGCCGAAAAUGUACCGGGGCUAAAACAAUUUACCGAAGCUGUGGAUACCUUUAUAGGUAUGGUAGGAGAGCGUUCUAUGUGUGAAGAAGGUGUACCGUGAGGAGUGCUGGAACGCAUAGAAGUGAGAAUGCCGGUAUGAGUAGCGAAAGACAGGUGAGAAUCCUGUCCACCGUAAGACUAAGGUUUCCAGGGGAAGGCUCGUCCGCCCUGGGUUAGUCGGGACCUAAGGAGAGACCGAAAGGUGUAUCCGAUGGACAACAGGUUGA